rnacentral:rRNA from 1 species
AGCGGCGGACGGGUGAGUAAUACUUAGGAAUCUACCUAGUAGUGGGGGAUAGCUCGGGGAAACUCGAAUUAAUACCGCAUACGACCUACGGGAGAAAGGGGGCAACUUGUUGCUCUCGCUAUUAGAUGAGCCUAAGUCGGAUUAGCUAGAUGGUGGGGUAAAGGCCUACCAUGGCGACGAUCUGUAGCUGGUCUGAGAGGAUGAUCAGCCACACCGGGACUGAGACACGGCCCGGACUCCUACGGGAGGCAGCAGUGGGGAAUAUUGGACAAUGGGGGAAACCCUGAUCCAGCCAUGCCGCGUGUGUGAAGAAGGCCUUUUGGUUGUAAAGCACUUUAAGCAGUGAAGAAGACUCCUCGGUUAAUACCCGUGGACGAUGACAUUAGCUGCAGAAUAAGCACCGGCUAACUCUGUGCCAGCAGCCGCGGUAAUACAGAGGGUGCAAGCGUUAAUCGGAAUUACUGGGCGUAAAGGGAGCGUAGGUGGCUCGAUAAGUCAGAUGUGAAAUCCCCGGGCUCAACCUGGGAACUGCAUCUGAUACUGUUGAGCUAGAGUAUGUGAGAGGAAGGUAGAAUUCCAGGUGUAGCGGUGAAAUGCGUAGAGAUCUGGAGGAAUACCGAUGGCGAAGGCAGCCUUCUGGCAUAAUACUGACACUGAGGCUCGAAAGCGUGGGUAGCAAACAGGAUUAGAUACCCUGGUAGUCCACGCCGUAAACGAUGUCUACUAGUCGUUGGGUCCCUUGAGGACUUAGUGACGCAGCUAACGCAAUAAGUAGACCGCCUGGGGAGUACGGCCGCAAGGUUAAAACUCAAAUGAAUUGACGGGGGCCCGCACAAGCGGUGGAGCAUGUGGUUUAAUUCGAUGCAACGCGAAGAACCUUACCUGGUCUUGACAUAUCUAGAAUCCUGCAGAGAUGCGGGAGUGCCUUCGGGAAUUAGAAUACAGGUGCUGCAUGGCUGUCGUCAGCUCGUGUCGUGAGAUGUUGGGUUAAGUCCCGCAACGAGCGCAACCCUUGUCCUUAGUUACCAGCGGGUUAUGCCGGGAACUCUAAGGAUACUGCCAGUGACAAACUGGAGGAAGGCGGGGACGACGUCAAGUCAUCAUGGCCCUUACGACCAGGGCUACACACGUGCUACAAUGGUAGGUACAGAGGGCAGCUACACAGCGAUGUGAUGCGAAUCUCAAAAAGCCUAUCGUAGUCCGGAUUGGAGUCUGCAACUCGACUCCAUGAAGUAGGAAU